CAUGUUGAGCUGUAUUAGAAGACCCUUAACAGGCCUCCAUACUAGUCUU
rnacentral:sRNA from 1 species